GUCUAUGGCCAUGCCACCCUGAACAAGCCCGAUCCCAUUUGAUCUUGGAAGCUAAGCAGAGUUGGGCCUGGUUAGUACUUAGAUGGGAGACCACCUAGGAAGACCAGGUAUCAUAGGCG
rnacentral:rRNA from 1 species